CAUGCUACGACUCUUUGAUUGUGACUUUCUUUCAGUCGGCAACUUUGAACGAGUUCGGAGCCAACCAACUCCGCUUCGUGAAAUUUCAAAUCAAAAAUGUUCAAGUACGAAAAGUGGAAAAAUGAGCAAAGCUUUUCACGGAUGGAAUUUUGAACAAAAAUAAAAUGUGUUCAGGAUAAAAGUAAUGGAUGAGACGCCAUUUGAAUGCCAACAGCGCAUAAGGGAGGAAAGCGUUCGUGAUCAACUGCCAAACGUGUACACGUAAUAGUUAUGAGAUAAUAGGAUUUCCCAAUUGGGCAUUUCCGAUCGUUGAAACGUCACGAUGUCAUUGACAUAACUGUCGUGAUAUUGCUCCACUUACUUUCCUUUGACAAGGAGUGGAGGCGAUAUACCAGAGCUUCCGGAUUAACCCCACAACAGGAUCGUUCGAGUAGAUUGUGCCAACAGUACGUCUCAUUGGAUGCUGGAAAUGAUUUAGUGCGGAGGUAUCCAGCGGAGUCGACAGAAUUUCCUUCCUGCAAUUCUCGCAAGUGAUGGAUAAUCGCUUCUAAUCUGUCCCAUUCACGUUAACUUUCACGGAAGUAAUAACAUAACACCCCAAUAAAAAAGUAAUUCAGUUCUUCAAUUGUGAUGUGAAACUAUUGUUGGUCUUUUGGUCGACUGAUUUUAUAAUUUACUGAAGUGUUUUAUUACUAAAACCAAAAUUACAAGUUUACGACCCUGAUAAAGACAAUGUCAUUCCCUCAACAUGUUACCUAAGAAGUGUACAAGACUGGCAGGUCAUAAAAUUCCUUUGAUUACGCAGUCAAAUUACCUUGUCAAGUAAAGCUCAUUCACCACCACAAAAUGAAUUAACAUGGUCAAUUCAAUUCAGUUUCGUGUACCUGAACUCAGUCGUUGAAUUGUUUAAAAAUACUCUCCCAUUUUGGAACUUGAAUGACAAAUAAUUAAAAAUCCCGUGGACAAAUCACUAAUAGGUAAUUUAGUAAAAAUUGAGAAGAGAAGAAGUGAAAUAAAAUGGGAAUGAAAUAAAAAUGGUUAUCGUUAACCCCCCACACUUUCUCCUCUGAGUGUGACAGACCAAAC